AGCGAACGCUGGCGGCAGGCUUAACACAUGCAAGUCGAGCGGGCAUAGCAAUAUGUCCGCGGCAGACGGGUGCGUAACGCGUGGUAACGUACCUUUUGGUUCGGAACAACUGAGGGAAACUUCAGCUAAUACCGGAUAAGCCCUUACGGGGAAAGAUUUAUCGCCGAAAGAUCGGCCCGCGUCUGAUUAGCUAGUUGGUGAGGUAAUGGCUCACCAAGGCGACGAUCAGUAGCUGGUCUGAGAGGAUGAUCAGCCACAUUGGGACUGAGACACGGCCCAAACUCCUACGGGAGGCAGCAGUGGGGAAUAUUGGACAAUGGGCGCAAGCCUGAUCCAGCCAUGCCGCGUGAGUGAUGAAGGCCCUAGGGUUGUAAAGCUCUUUUGUGCGGGAAGAUAAUGACGGUACCGCAAGAAUAAGCCCCGGCUAACUUCGUG
rnacentral:rRNA from 1 species